rnacentral:snRNA from 1 species
GAUCAAAGUGUAGUAUCUGUUCUUAUCAGCUUAAUAUCUGAUACGACUCCCAACGGGGGUCAAGAUAUUAAACUUAUUUUUGUCAUGGCGUGGAAUGUCUGAGGCUUGCCUCAAUUCCACAACGGGUUGAC